rnacentral:rRNA from 1 species
AGCAUAUCAAUAAGCGGAGGAAAAGAAACUAACAAGGAUUCCCCUAGUAACUGCGAGUGAAGCGGGAAAAGCUCAAAUUUAAAAUCUGGCGGUCUUUGGCCGUCCGAGUUGUAAUCUAGAGAAGUAAUGCCCGUGCUGGACCGUGUAUAAGUCUCCUGGGAUGGGGCGUCAUAGAGGGUGAGAAUCCCGUCUUUGACACGGACUACCAGUGCAUUGUGGUAUGCUCUCAAAGAGUCGAGUUGUUUGGGAAUGCAGCUCAAAAUGGGUGGUAAAUUCCAUCUAAAGCUAAAUAUUGGCGAGAGACCGAUAGCGAACAAGUACCGUGAGGGAAAGAUGAAAAGAACUUUGGAAAGAGAGUUAAACAGUACGUGAAAUUGCUGAAAGGGAAACGCUUGAAGUCAGUCGCGUUGGCCAGGGAUCAGCCUUGCUUUUGCAUGGUGUACUUUCUGGUUGACGGGUCAGCAUCAAUUUUGACCACUGGAAAAGGGCCUGGGGAAUGUGGCAGCUUAGGCUGUGUUAUAGCCCCUGGUCGCAUACAGUGGUUGGGAUUGAGGAACUCAGCACGCCGCAAGGCCGGGUUUCGACCACGUUCGUGCUUAGGAUGCUGGCAUAAUGGCUUUAAGCGACCCGUCUUGAAACACGGACCAAGGAGUCUAACAUGCCUGCGAGUAUUUGGGUGGAAAACCCGAGUGCGCAAUGAAAGUGAAAGUUGAGAUCCCUGUCGUGGGGAGCAUCGACGCCCGGACCAGAACUUUUGGGACGGAUCCGCGGUGGAGCAUGUAUGUUGGGACCCGAAAGAUGGUGAACUAUGCCUGAAUAGGGUGAAGCCAGAGGAAACUCUGGUGGAGGCUCGUAGCGAUUCUGACGUGCAAAUCGAUCGUCAAAUUUGGGUAUAGGGGCGAAAGACUAAUCGAACCAUCUAGUAGCUGGUUCCUGCCGAA